UCAUUCCAGUAAAAGGGAACAUUCCAGCCAAAGCGGUGGCAACAGAGGCCCAGUGUUGGAAAUGCCACUUCAACAAGAGAGGCCAUUGUCCAGGUUUCCAGUAACACUUGAGCUGUUGAGAUACAGAUGGCAAUAAAAGCUGAGUGGAUAAAACUGGAUGGUGACUGAUGCAGGAUGACGUCUCUGGGCAGAGCGUGUUUCUUGGCUUCACAGUAAAUUACUGUAUUUCAACCUGGUUUAAUCUUCUUUAAACGGAGUCUAAAUUAAUUCAGGAUACGUUGCAACAAAACACAGAACAAGUCUCCAUGGUAACGAGCCUGGGCUGGACCGAUCCCUGGUGGCGAACGGUGGGACGGAUGCUGGUGGAGCUGCUCUGCAAACAGAGUGGGACACCAUCUUAAGGUCGAUAAAGGAAGGUAUCAUCAGACUCAAAGUUUGGUGUCUGUGAUGGGCAGCUGCGAGUCCAACCAUCCUGCCUGUGUCCAGUCCCUGGUUCAACCAUCCUGCCUGUGUGCAGUCUCCGGUCCAACCAUCCUGUCUGUGUCCAGUCCCUGGUCCAACCAUCCUCCCUGUGUUCAGUCUCUGGUCCAACCAUCCUGCCUGUGUUCAGUCUCUGGUCCAACCAUCCUGUCUGUGUCCAAACCCCGGUCCAACCAUCUUGUGUCCAGACCCUGGCCCAACCAUCCUGCCUGUGCUCUGUGGGUGUUUCUGUGCUUUUCUCUGACUCUAUCACCUCACCCCAACCGGUCAAGGUAGUGAGGCCACAUCCAGCCUGGUUCUGCUGGAGGUUUUUUACCUGUUAGAAUGGGAGUAAAUUUGCAAUUAUUUAUAUUUAAAAGGUGAUGGUGAAUGUAGUCAGUCGGUAUGCUCCACAAGCUGGCUGUGAGUUAGAAGAGAAGAAGAUAUUUUGGAGUGAGUUUGAUGAGGUCAUAGAGAGAAUCCCCAGAGGAGAGAGGGUAGUGGUUGGAGCAGACUUUUAAUGAGCGUGUUGGUUAGGGGAACAGAGGUGAUGAGGAGAUGAUGGGCAGGUUUGGUGUAAAGGAAAGGAACCUACUGUAGAAGGACAGAUGGCGGUGGACUUUGCUAAAAGGAUAGAAAUGGCUGUUGUCGACACUUACUUCCAGAAGAGAGAGGAUCACAGUGACAUAGAAGAGUGGAGGUGGGAGCACUCAGGUGGACUACAUCCUAUGUAGACGAGGUCAUUUGAAAGAGGUUAGUGACUGCAAAGUGGUGGUAGGAAUGAGUGUAGCUAGACAGCAUCGCAUGGUGGUGUGUAAGAUGACUUUGAUGGAAGAAGGAAGGAAGAAGAAAAGAGGAAAGACAGAAAAAAGACGAAGUGGUGGAAGCUAAAGAAUGAGUAAAUCUGUGGAGAAUUCAGGAAGAAGUUAAGACAGGCUCUGGAUGGUCAGGAAGAGCUUCCAGAUGACUGGGGGUCAGACAGGAAUCUCUCUGGACAAUGAUGUUUGAGGAUGACAUUGUGAUUUGCAGUGAGAGUAGAGAGCAAGUGGAAUAACAAAUGGAGAGGUGGAGGUUUGCUCUGGAAAUAAGAGGCAUGAAAGUCAGUGGUAGUAAGACAGAAUACAUGUGUCUAAACGAGAGGAUUUAAGAUAGAACAGUGAGGCUACAGGAGCUGAGGUGAAGAAGGUGCAGGAGUUUAAUAGUUCAGUGUGAUGGCGAGUGUGGAAAAUAGGUGAAGAGGCGAGUGCAGGCGGGUUGGAGCGGGUGGAGGAAAGUGUCAGGAGUGUCGUUUGACAGAGUGUCAGCAAGACUCAAAGAAAAGGUGUAAAGAUAGUGGUGAGAGCAGCUCUGCUCUAUGGGUUAGAGACGAAAGCAGUGAAAAAGAGACAAGAAGAAGAGACGGAGGCAGCAGAGAAGAUGAAGAUGAAGAUGCUGAGGUUGGAUAGAAUCAGGAGUGAGCUCAUCAGAGGGACGGCUCACAUUGUCUGUGUUAGCAAAACAGUCAGAGAGGCCAGACUGAGGAGGGAUAGUGAAUAUAUUGGUAGAAGGAUGUUGGCGAUGGAGCUGCCAGGCAAAGGGCAAGAGUACGACCAAGGAGAGGAUAUAUGGAUGUGCUGACAGAGGCCUUGAGGUUGGCUGCUGUAAAUGUAGAAGAUGCCCAGGACAGAAUGAGAUAGAAAAGGAUGAUUUGCUGUGGAGACCCCUGAUGGAAAAAGCUGAAAUAGAAGAAGCUUUAUAUAACAUACAAGAUGAGAUGAGAUGAGAUGAGAUGAGAUGAGAUGAGAUGAGAUGAGAUGAGAUGAGAUGAGAUGAGAUGAGAUGAGAUGAGAUGAGAUGAGAUGAGAUGAGAUGAGAUGAGAUGAGAUGAGAUGAGAUGAGAUGAGAUGAGAUGAGAUGAGAUGAGAUGAGAUGAGAUGAGAUGAGAUGAGAUGAGAUGAGAUAAGAUAAGAUAAGAUAACCUUUAAUAGUCCAGCAGUGGGGAAAUUACCUCUCACAACAGCAGGCUGGCUCCACUCCCUCUCAGUCUGGCUCCGCCCCCUCUCAGCCUAACUGUUGCUGGGGCAGGUACAGAGAAAACCAGAAGCCACUAGUUGUAGUCUGUGGGUACACGAAAAGUCGCCAGGGCAGCUGAGAAUGAUUGUUUUUACGUCAUCUUCAGCUGCCCUGGUGUCAGAUUUCGGCAAGGAUCGGACCCACAUGCACAGCGAUGACGCGGUAGACAGUGGAUAUAGUUAAGGAAGUCUUUAAUGACAGAAUCCAGGUCACAAAACGGUCCAGGUCAUUCACAGGUAGACACAGAUUAACAACACCACAGGGAUUAGGCGAAAUCGGGUCCGAGGACAGGCGUGAGUCAAUACCAGAAAGGGCUCAGAUCUCAGGAACAGAAUCAGCGGGCGUAGACAGGUCCAGAAACGAGCAGAGUUCAGUAACAGAGUGACUUACGAGAUUGGUCAGGAUCAGGCGAGAAGCAAUAGUCAAAAACGUAACAGGGUCGACAACAGGAUAAGCUGAACUAGACAAAUGCUGGAACGUGAGAACAAUGAAUCAACGAUCUGGCAAAUAACAACUGUCACAGGUGGUGCUUAAAUGUCCUAGGGAGUGAUGAUGAAUUGGGUACAGGUGCGUGAAUAAAAACCGGAAGUAAAGUUAGCGCAGGCAGAGUGAUGUGACAAACCGGAAACUGCUAAACUAAAACAGGAAGUGAAACUGGAGAUCUGACACCUGGCACCUUUAUGCAGAGGAAUAAAUUAUAGUUUUCUGCAUAGGAAUUAUGGAGGAACCUGAGUGUCCCUUUAUUCUUAAUACUACUCAACAUGUUUUUGGUCAACCCUCAUUGAAAAUUAAAGAAGUGUUCCCUUAACACAGAGCAGCGUUUUCUUCUGUUUCCAUCUGGGUCCAUGAUGUGAGAUCAUCGGAGCUUUACAUUCCAGUGAGGCUUCAGUCAAUAUCACACACAACCCAACGUCUUCUUCUUCUGUUCUCUCAUGGAAAAGGACUCAACGUCAUGUUAAUGAGCUUGAGUCGCUCUGAUGAGCGGCGUCCAAUAAAGAACAUUUGCAAACAGCUCUGAACCACUGGUUCCUUUUUAAUUGAAGGAACAGGAGAGUAAUGCAUGAAAUGAGCUGAGCACAGACGCUGAGCUCUGUACAUCCUCCAGCUCUGCUAUCCAUUCAGUUGGCAUCUAUUGCUGUCAGACUUGGAAUUCAUUCAGUCUUAAUCUUGUAUUAUUAUGCUAAUAAUACUCAAUCAAAAACAUUUCAACAGUAAAUUGAAAAUGUAGAGUGUUUUAACAGCAAACAAUUCAGCAGUGACAGCAAAUCUGGCAGCGCCGAGCUCGGGGAAACGCUUGGCACCCUGAUUCAUGUUCUGAAUACCACUGGGCCACUGCUUAAAGCACUUCUCAGCACAGACAACAUUCAGAAAUGUUGAUCCAAGUGUCACAUUCUUUGCUUCACAGUAGAGAAGUAAAGGAUAUUCAGAGAACAAAGCUAGAAGUUUGGCAGUUGGCUGGUGUUUGCAUCAGAAGCUUAGGAAUUGUUGGUUAUAACUUAAUGAGCCUGGAGGCAUGCAGGUCUGAACACACAGCAGUGGCGUUGCUGCGUUGAUUUCAAACAGUGUGUGCUAUUUUUUCUGAGGAAGCAAAUUGUACGAGCAUUUCUCUCAGAGCAGAGCCAACGUGGAUCAGACUAUUUCCACACAUCCUCCCCUCGCUGGAUGUUCAUGCGAACCUGCAACCUGAGACCACCUCGCACUCCUCCAUCACAAUCCACUGUCUCUUCUGCUACAGCUCUGCAAACACAGCCAGAGCAGGGAAGGUCACUGAUAUUAUUAGCAACAUGUUGACAUUUGGUUGCCAUGGCGAGAAACAGCUACAGCAACAGAUGAAUCAAGCGUAGUCGGGCCAAGAGGCAGCAGCAGAGGACAACGAGACUCAACGAGGUCUGACUUGGACCUGAAUUAAAAAACAAUCAGCGGAAAGGAGAUUAGAUGUAACAUCCUCUGAAAAAUCUGUUAAUAGUUAAGCUAAGCUAAGCUAAGCUAAGCUAAGAUAAGAUAAGAUAAGAUAAGAUAAGAUAAGAUAAGAUAAGAUAAGAUAAGAUAAGAUAAGAUAAGAUAAGAUAAGAUAAGAUAAGCGUUGAAGCACUUCCUGCUUGUCAGUGAUUGGUCAUCUUUAGUCCCAUUAAUAGUCCCAUUUCUCUUCCCUUCCUUUAAAUCUUCUGUUACCUCCAUUUCUGACCAUCAAAGAAGGCAAAUUAGUCCCAGUCCACAUCCCUGUCCACCCAAAGUGCCCCCCCCUACACACACACUUUCCUUUUCACAGCUCAUCAAACCCAGUCUUGUGGCUUGCAGUUUGGUUAAACAAUUAGUAAAACGCUCUUCCCCAGAUGUUCCCUUCACAUGGCUGGAGAAAGGCAUUGGUUCUGGUGAGGGCAAUGCACACUGAUACCAGCUAAUUAAAGAAACUCCUCAGAUUCCAUGGUUUGUGUUGUUUUUUUUCUCCCCGGCUGGCUGAGGCAAAGCCAUGUGACCCAGAAAAUGAAUGAAGCAAGUGACCCAUGAAAGACCACAGGAAAUAGAGUGUGAGGGAGGGAGAUAGAUGAGAUGGCAACACAGGAGCAGAGAGAGAUAUGAGCGUCAGGACGGGAAAUUGAAGAAGGGAAUGAGCAAGAAAAGCAGAGAAUUAGAAAUAAUGUCAGGUCGGGGCAUUGGGCGGAGAUUUGAAGGCACGGAUCAGAAAUCUCUCCGAAACAAGUGAUUGGUUUGUUCAAGGCUUUAUACGCGGCUGGUGUGACGAGACUCACUCACCAACAGCAGCUGGAGGCGUGUGACAGACAGAAGCAAAGAAGUAAAACUGUGUGUUUUCAACAUGUGCCAUCAACGAAAUUAACAUUUGUGACUGAGGCUUGAGGAACAGGAAGUGACCUUUCAAAGCAAAAGACAUAGUGGACCCAGUUUGUACAAUAAUUCAACUUCUGUGAGGAAAUGUUGAUUUUAGGUGUCAUAAACCAAAUAAGCGAUGUCAUGAUGGCUUUUAAGAAGGUUUGCUGUAUUUGCUGUGUUGUCCUGUGUGGUUUUGACACAUGAGCUGUGCUCAGUGCACCAAAGCGCUACAAGCUCUGUAAAAAUGCUGUUAUUGAGGCUGUGUAAAAUAAAAAGCUGCGUGUCUGCUCUGAUUUGACAUAACUGGCCUCCUGGCCCAACACUUUGCCUCCAGCCACACAUCAGCAUGCGUAAUGAGGAGCUGAGGGUGAGAGCCAGGGAAGCACCGGGUCACUUCUACUUUACUGCCCUUAUGCUUUGUCCAUCUGACAAAUGCUCACUUGAGGGAUACGUGUGCAGACACUUCCAUUACGCUGGUGAGAGCUUUUAACAGCCACAGUUUGAUUCCAUAACUCUGACUUUA